rnacentral:rRNA from 1 species
CACGUAGGGUGCGAGCGUUGUCCGGAAUUAUUGGGCGUAAAGAGCUCGUAGGCGGUGUGUCGCGUCGGCCGUGAAAACCUGCAGCUUAACUGUGGGCUUGCGGUCGAUACGGGCAUCACUGGAGUUCGGCAGGGGAGACUGGAAUUCCUGGUGUAGCGGUGAAAUGCGCAGAUAUCAGGAGGAACACCGGUGGCGAAGGCGGGUCUCUGGGCCGAUACUGACGCUGAGGAGCGAAAGCGUGGGG